GACGAACGCUGGCGGCGUGCUUAACACAUGCAAGUCGAACGGAAAGGCCCUGCUUUUGUGGGGUGCUCGAGUGGCGAACGGGUGAGUAACACGUGAGUAACCUGCCCUUGACUUUGGGAUAACGUCAGGAAACUGGGGCUAAUACCGGAUAGGAGCUCCUGCUGCAUGGUGGGGGUUGGAAAGUUUCGGCGGUUGGGGAUGGACUCGCGGCUUAUCAGCUUGUUGGUGGGGUAGUGGCUUACCAAGGCGUUGACGGGUAGCCGGCAUGAGAGGGUGACCGGCCACAUUGGGACUGAAAUACGGCCCAGCCUCCUACGGGUGGCAGAAGUGGGGAAUAUUGCACAUUGGGCGGCAGCCUUCUGCAGCAACGCCGCGUGCGGGAUGACGGCCUUCGGGUUGUAAACCGCUUUCGCCUGUGACGAAGCGUGAGUGACGGUAAUGGGUAAAGAAGCACCGGCUAACUACGUG
rnacentral:rRNA from 1 species